GCCAGGUGUGGUGGCGCAUGCCUGUAAUCCCAGCUACUCGGGAGGCUGAGGCUGGAGAAUCGCUUGAACCCAGGAGGCGGAGGCUGCAGUGGGCUGAGAUGGCGCCACUGCACUCCAGCCUGGGCGACAGAGUGAGACUCUGUCUCAA
rnacentral:SRP_RNA from 1 species